rnacentral:rRNA from 1 species
CUACGGGGGGCACCAGUGAGGAAUUUUGCGCAAUGGGCGAAAGCCUGACGCAGCAACGCCGCGUGAGUGAUGAAGGCUUUCGGGUCGUAAAGCUCUGUCAAGUGGGAAGAACCUAUAUAAUGUUAAUACCAUUAUAUACUGACGGUACCACUGAAGGAAGCACCGGCUAACUCCGUGCCAGCAGCCGCGGUAAUACGGGGGGUGCAAGCGUUAUUCGGAAUCAUUGGGCGUAAAGAGCACGUAGGCGGCCUGGUAAGUCAGACGUGAAAGCCCGGGGCUUAACCCCGGAAGUGCAUUUGAUACUGCCCGGCUUGAGUAUGGGAGAGGGAAGUGGAAUUCCUGGUGUAGAGGUGAAAUUCGUAGAUAUCAGGAGGAACACCGGUGGCGAAGGCGACUUCCUGGACCAAUACUGACGCUGAGGUGCGAAGGCGUGGGUAGCAAACAGGAUUAGAUACCCUGGUAGUC